rnacentral:rRNA from 1 species
GUGAGGAAUAUUGGUCAAUGGGCGGGAGCCUGAACCAGCCAAGUCGCGUGAAGGAAGAAGGAUCUAUGGUUCGUAAACUUCUUUUGCAGGGGAAUAAAGUGCAGGACGUGUCCUGUUUUGUAUGUACCCUGAGAAUAAGGAUCGGCUAACUCCGUGCCAGCAGCCGCGGUAAUACGGAGGAUCCGAGCGUUAUCCGGAUUUAUUGGGUUUAAAGGGUGCGUAGGUGGUUUGAUAAGUCAGCGGUGAAAGUUUGCAGCUUAACUGUAAAAAUGCCGUUGAAACUGUCGGACUUGAGUGUAAAUGAGGUAGGCGGAAUGCGUGGUGUAGCGGUGAAAUGCAUAGAUAUCACGCAGAACUCCGAUUGCGAAGGCAGCUUACUAAGCUACAACUGACACCGAAGCACGAAAGCGUGGGGAUCAAACAGGAUUAGAAACCCGUGUAGUCC